rnacentral:rRNA from 1 species
UACGUAGGUGGCAAGCGUUGUCCGGAAUUAUUGGGCGUAAAGCGCGCGCAGGCGGAUUGGUCAGUCUGUCUUAAAAGUUCGGGGCUUAACCCCGUGAUGGGAUGGAAACUGCCAAUCUAGAGUAUCGGAGAGGAAAGUGGAAUUCCUAGUGUAGCGGUGAAAUGCGUAGAUAUUAGGAAGAACACCAGUGGCGAAGGCGACUUUCUGGACGAAAACUGACGCUGAGGCGCGAAAGCCAGGGGAGCGAACG